AGGUUUUCGGACUGGGUACAGCGGCGGACGGGUGAGUAACGCGUAGGAAUCUACCCAGUAGUGGGGGACAACUUAGGGAAACUUAAGCUAAUACCGCAUACGCCCUAUGGGGGAAAGCGGGGGAUCUUCGGACCUCGCGCUAUUGGAAGAGCUUGCGUUAGAUUAGCUAGUUGGUGGGGUAAAGGCUCACCAAGGCGACGAUCUAUAGCUGGUCUGAGAGGAUGAUCAGCCACACUGGGACUGAGACACGGCCCAGACUCCUACGGGAGGCAGCAGUGGGGAAUAUUGCGCAAUGGGCGAAAGCCUGACGCAGCCAUGCCGCGUGUGUGAAGAAGGCCUUAGGGUUGUAAAGCACUUUCAAUUGGGAGGAAGGAUUUGACGUUAAUAGCGUUAAAUUUUGACGUUACCUUUAGAAGAAGCACCGGCUAACUCCGUGCCAGCAGCCGCGGUAAUACGGAGGGUGCGAGCGUUAAUCGGAAUUACUGGGCGUAAAGCGCGCGUAGGCGGUUUGUUAAGUCGGAUGUGAAAUCCCCGGGCUCAACCUGGGAACUGCACCCGAUACUGAUCGACUUGAGUGCGAGAGAGGGAGGUAGAAUUCCAUGUGUAGCGGUGAAAUGCGUAGAUAUAUGGAGGAAUACCGGUGGCGAAGGCGGCCUCCUGGCUCGACACUGACGCUGAGGUGCGAAAGCGUGGGUAGCAAACAGGAUUAGAUACCCUGGUAGUCCACGCCGUANACGAUGUCUACUAGCCGUUGGGGAAUUUGAUUCUUUAGUGGCGCAGCUAACGCAAUAAGUAGACCGCCUGGAGAGUACGGCCG
rnacentral:rRNA from 1 species